rnacentral:rRNA from 1 species
GCUUGUCUCAAAGAUUAAGCCAUGCAUGUCUAAGUAUAAGCCUUUACACGGUGAGACUGCGAAUGGCUCAUUAAAUCAGAAACUGUUUAUUUGAUAGUGCCUACUACUUGGAUAACCGUAGUAAUUCUAGAGCUAAUACAUGCGCAAAUUCCCGACUGCCGCAAGGCGGAAAGGAUGUAUUUAUUAGAUCCAACCAGCCCGGUUCGCCGGAGUCCCUGGUGAGUCAUAAUAACUGAGCGAAUCGCAUGGCCUUGCGCCGGCGAUGGUUCAUUCAAGUUUCUGCCCUAUCAGCUUUCGAUGGUAGGGUAUUGGCCUACCAUGGCGUUAACGGGUAACGGAGAAUUAGGGUUCGAUUCCGGAGAGGGAGCCUGAGAAACGGCUACCACAUCCAAGGAAGGCAGCAGG